rnacentral:rRNA from 1 species
GACGAACGCUGGCGGCGUGCUUAACACAUGCAAGUCGAACGGAAAGGCCCUGCUUUUGUGCGGUGCUCGAGUGGCGAACGGGUGAGUAACACGUGAGUACCCUGCCCUUGACUUUGGGAUGUCUUCAGGAAACUGGGGCUAAUACCGGCUAGGAGCUCCUGCUGCAUGGUGGGGGUUGGUAAGUUUAGGCGGUUGGGGAUGGACUCGCGGCUUAUCAGCUUGUUGGUGGGGUAGUGGCUUACCAAGGCUUUGCGGCGUAGCCGGGCUGGGAGGAGGACAUGCCCAGCCGGGCUGGAGAUGAGGCACGGACCACUCUCGGAGGCAGCGGAGCAGAGGAGUAUACUAUGGGCGGGAGCCUGAUGCAGCAACGCCGCGUGGGGGAUGAGGGGCUGGGGGUAGGAUUGCAAUGCCGUCUUUGACGAAGUGUGAGUGACGGUAACGGGUGAAGAAGCACCGGCUAACUACGUG